rnacentral:rRNA from 1 species
UAGGGAAUCUUCCGCAAUGGACGAAAGUCUGACGGAGCAACGCCGCGUGAGUGAAGAAGGAUUUCGGUUCGUAAAACUCUGUUGUUAGGGAAGAAAAAAUGUAUAGUAACUAUAUACAAAAGAGACGGUACCUAACCAGAAAGCCACGGCUAACUACGUGCCAGCAGCCGCGGUAAUACGUAGGUGGCAAGCGUUGUCCGGAAUUAUCGGGCGUAAAGCGCGCGCAGGUGGUUUAGAAAGUCUGAUGUGAAAGCCCACGGCUCAACCGUGGAAGGUCAAUGGAAACUAAUAAACUUGAGUGCAGGAGAGAAAAGUGGAAUUCCUAGUGUAGCGGUGAAAUGCGUAGAGAUUAGGAGGAACACCGGUGGCGAAAGCGGCUUUUUGGCCUGCAACUGACACUGAGGCGCGAAAGCGUGGGGAGCAAACAGG